rnacentral:tRNA from 1 species
GGGGCUGUAGUGUAGCUUGGUAUCACCUAAGGUUCGGGACCUUAUAACCUGGGUUCGAAAACCUGUUGGCUAA